rnacentral:rRNA from 1 species
UGCAAGUCGAGCGGAUGAAGGGAGCUUGCUCUCUGAUUCAGCGGCGGACGGGUGAGUAAUGCCUAGGAAUCUGCCUAUUAGUGGGGGACAACGUUUCGAAAGGAACGCUAAUACCGCAUACGUCCUACGGGAGAAAGCAGGGGACCUUCGGGCCUUGCGCUAAUAGAUGAGCCUAGGUCGGAUUAGCUAGUUGGUGAGGUAAAGGCUCACCAAGGCGACGAUCCGUAACUGGUCUGAGAGGAUGAUCAGUCACACUGGAACUGAGACACGGUCCAGACUCCUACGGGAGGCAGCAGUGGGGAAUAUUGGACAAUGGGCGAAAGCCUGAUCCAGCCAUGCCGCGUGUGUGAAGAAGGUCUUCGGAUUGUAAAGCACUUUAAGUUGGGAGGAAGGGCAGUAAGUUAAUACCUUACUGUUUUGACGUUACCGACAGAAUAAGCACCGGCUAACUUCGUGCCAG